ACAUGCAAGUCGAGCGAGGCCCACUCUUCGGGGUGGUGCCCUAGCGGCGAACGGGUGAGUAACACGUGGGCAACCUGCCCUCAGCUCUGGGAUAACUCCAAGAAAUUGGUGCUAAUACCGGAUGUGACCGCUGACCGCAUGGUCUGGUGGUGGAAAGAUUCAUCGGCUGGGGAUGGGCCCGCGGCCUAUCAGCUUGUUGGUGGGGUAAUGGCCCACCAAGGCGACGACGGGUAGCCGGCCUGAGAGGGUGACCGGCCACACUGGGACUGAGACACGGCCCAGACUCCUACGGGAGGCAGCAGUGGGGAAUAUUGCGCAAUGGGCGAAAGCCUGACGCAGCGACGCCGCGUGAGGGAUGACGGCCUUCGGGUUGUAAACCUCUUUCAGUAGGGACGAAGCGAAAGUGACGGUACCUACAGAAGAAGCACCGGCCAACUACGUGCCAGCAGCCGCGGUAAUACGUAGGGUGCAAGCGUUGUCCGGAAUUAUUGGGCGUAAAGAGCUCGUAGGCGGUCUGUCACGUCGGCUGUGAAAACCCGAGGCUCAACCUCGGGCCUGCAGUCGAUACGGGCAAACUANAGUACUGCAGGGGAGACUGGAAUUCCUGGUGUAGCGGUGAAAUGCGCAGAUAUCAGGAGGAACACCGGUGGCGAAGGCGGGUCUCUGGGCA
rnacentral:rRNA from 1 species